UACGUAGGGUGCAAGCGUUGUCCGGAAUUAUUGGGCGUAAAGAGCUCGUAGGCGGUUUGUCGCGUCUGCUGUGAAAACCCGGGGCUCAACCCCGGGCCUGCAGCCGAUACGGGCAGACUAGAGUUCGGCAGGGGAGACUGGAAUUCCUGGUGUAGCGGUGAAAUGCGCAGAUAUCGGGAGGAACACCGGUGGCGAAGGCGGUUCUCUGGGCCUGACCUGACGCUGAGGAGCGAAAGCGUGGGGAGCGAACAGG
rnacentral:rRNA from 1 species